CUCUUCCUCAAAGCCGCACGACACAUCUCUCUCUCAGAUCUACACCUCCACCGUCGCUGACGUCGCCACCGCCACAGCUCACUCUCCACCGCUAGACUGUCGUUUCUUCCGAUUGGGAGAGCAUUGCGACGCUGCCGCUGCCACCGCCUCCCCUACGACGACGUCGACGCCGACGCUGCCGUUGCCACCGCCUCCCCUACGAAGACGCCGACGCCGACGCUGCCAAUGCCGUCCAAUGCCGCAAACACGCAGGGAAAAGUCCAAUUUGCAUCCUCAUAUGCAAUACACUAUCUGCACAUCUUUAUUUUUGCAUUGGCAGUAACUCAUGUGUUGUAUAGCAUUACAACUUGGGGGCUGGGCAGACUAAAGAUGAGGACUUGGAAAGCUUGGGAAGAUGGGACAAGAACACUUGACUACCAAUUUUACAAUGUUUGCAAUAUUGAUGGUGAUGAGAUCUUGAACUAGUGUUCCCAUGUUUCUUGGGUAAUUGAAUCUUGAUGGAUUUUGGAGAAUUUUGAAUAAUUAGUGCAGUUUUAUGGGUAAAAAGGAACAUUGAUGCAUUACUUGUACUGUUUGAUGACACCUUGGGAGCAUCAUGUCUGGGAAGCCCGGCACGGGAGUGUGUCAAAACUUCUAGUCAGAAGCGUUAGCCAGAAGUUAAAACUUGAAACGAAAGAACCACAAGGGUGAAGAGGAGGAACAAGACAAUGCUAUAGGGGUGUUUCCCUGAGUUGUUGCCUUAGUCUUUAUGGUAGGGGCGGGGGUUGUAAAGUUAGUGCUGACAUUGACUACUAUUACUUACUGAAUUGAUAAUGUAUUUUUUUUAAAUCGAAUUGAUAAUAAAUUUUUUAACCGAAUUGAUAAUGUAUUAUUUACUUGAAUUUAAUGUGGAAUGGUAAUGUUUUAGAAUUAUUUUAUAUUUUAAAA